ACAAAUGGAACAGACAGCGUUAUGGCUAAUCGAGCGCCAAGUGGAGCAGGAAGCAGUUCCCAGACUGGAGAUGCAUUAGGAAAGGCCUUGGCUUCGACUUAAUGUCAGCAUUUCAGAGAGAACAAAUUGCAAAAUACUGGAAACACACGCAUUCUGAAACAUUAAUACCCCGAUUAAAAAGCUCAUGAAUUAAUUAACUGGAACUCACGACCAGGGGCAUACACACACGCAUACAUACUGUACACAACAUCAGUAGCUCACUAAUUCCUGUAUUAAUCCUUCUCAGGUGGUGCUAGUGGAUGUUUAAUAUUAAUAUGCAUGCUAAGAUUGUGUGUGUGUGUGUGUGUGUGUGUGUGUGUGUGUGUGUGUGUGUGUGUGUGUGUGUGUGUGUGUUACCCCUAACCCUUUUUUAUCAUGGAUAUGUGUGCUACCA